rnacentral:rRNA from 1 species
GGGAAUUCGAUUACAUUUUGAUCCUGGAUCAUAAUCAUUGCUGGCGGCGUGCCUAACACAUGCAAUUCACACGAUAAAUUGGGGGCUGCCCUGCUAGUCAAGUGGCAGACAGGUGAGUUACACGUGAACAACCUGCCCUUGAGCGUGUAAUAACCCCGCGCUCCCGGGGCUAAUACCGCAUAACAUCCUCGGUCCGCAUGGACUGGGGAUCAAAGGUUUCUACCGCUUGAGGAGGGGUUCGCGGCUGAUUAGCUAGUUGGCGGGGUAACGGCCCACCAAGGCAACGAUCAUUAGCCGGCCUGAGAGGUUCAACGGUCACACUGGAACUGAUACACUCUCCCUACUCCUACCGCAGGCAGCAGUGGGGAAUUUUGCGCAUUGGAUUAAAGCCUGACCCCUAAACGCCACGUGGAGGAUGAAGGUCUUCGGAUCGUAAACUCCUGUCUUUGGGGACGAAAGCCCCGAAAGGGGCCUGACUGUACCCACUGAGGAAGCCACGGCUAACUCCGUGCCCCAACCGCCUUAAUACCGAGGUGGCAAGCGUUGUUCGAAAUUACUGGCCGUUGAGGGCGCGUAGGCACUGUGGCAAGUCAUAUGAGAAAGCCCCGUGCUUAACUCGCGAAGUGCAUCUGAAUCUGCUUUGAUUGACUCCCGAACGUCGUAGUGGAAUUCCCAUUGUACCGCUGAAAUGUGUACAUAUUGCGAGCAACACCUGUGGCUGAGGCCGCUACCUGCACCGUGUCUGACGUUGAGGCGUAUAAGCUAUGGGAGCUCUGGGAUUAGAUACUCCCGCAGUCUAGCCGUAUACGAUGAGCUCUUCUGUCGGGCGCAUUGAGUCGC